rnacentral:rRNA from 1 species
AUUGAACGCUGGCGGCAGGCUUAACACAUGCAAGUCGAGCGGAGUGAGGGUGCUUGCACCUUAGCUUAGCGGCGGACGGGUGAGUAAUGCUUAGGAAUCUGCCUAUUAGUGGGGGACAACAUUCCGAAAGGGAUGCUAAUACCGCAUACGCCCUACGGGGGAAAGCAGGGGAUCUUCGGACCUUGCGCUAAUAGAUGAGCCUAAGUCGGAUUAGCUAGUUGGUGGGGUAAAGGCCUACCAAGGCGACGAUCUGUAGCGGGUCUGAGAGGAUGAUCCGCCACACUGGGACUGAGACACGGCCCAGACUCCUACGGGAGGCAGCAGUGGGGAAUAUUGGACAAUGGGCGGAAGCCUGAUCCAGCCAUGCCGCGUGUGUGAAGGAGGCCUUUUGGUUGUAAAGCACUUUAAGCGAGGAGGAGGCUACUAGUAUUAAUACUACUGGAUAGUGGACGUUACUCGCAGAAUAAGCACCGGCUAACUCUGUGCCAGCAGCCGCAGUAA